CAACCAACUGCAGUGGGAAGGGGAGGGAGAACAGGGAAUGAGUGAGUGAGUGGCGCAUGGCUUCGAGAGUUUCAGUGGGAGUACUAAAUUGGGGAGUACCAUUUCCAAACCACAACAUGCCCCUGAUGGUAAUCGGAGGAAGAGACUGGGAACAUGUGCACUGGAAAGAAGCUACAGCAUGGUUCAUCCAGAUUCCCAGUCUGUAGACCUGAGGGAUGAGGAAAGAAGAAAAUGCCGAGCAAAAAUCCUGCCUGCAACAUAUUCAGGGUCUGUGUUCGUUGUCAUUAUUAUGUAGCUGGAAAAGUCACUAUUCCAGAGGAAAGCACCCUUUUGGCAAAACAAGCAGAGUUUGAACUAUUGCAAGCUCCAGUCUUAAACGGAUUUUACUUAACAGCUCAUGACAAGUGAAAAAUCAACAAGAAGGCUGCACAGAGGACAGAGCCAGACCCUUUCCAGUGACGGGACCAGAGGCAAUGGGCAUACACUGAAACACAGGAAGUUCUCUCUGAACAUCAGAAAACACUUCUUCAUUGUGAGGGUGAUCGAGCACUUGCACAGGUUGCCGUGAGAGGUUAUGGAGUCUCCAUCCUUGGAGAUAUUCAAAAGCUGUCUGGACACGGUCCUGGGCAACUGGCUCUUGGGUGACCAUGCUUGAGCAAGGGUGUUGGACAAGAUGACCUCCAGAGGUCCCUUCUAACCUCAGCCAUUCUGUAAUUGUGAAUGUAUAUGCCCCACAAAACUGCACAAGAAAGACCUAUAUUCUCACAUCUGUGUGAUUUACUCUGGAUUUCCAAGGCACAUCACCUAAUUGUAAUUUAUCGAAUAGAAUUACUGCCCAAUAUAAAAGUUUACUUUAUGGACACAAAUGUCAACUGUUGAUUCCUAGAAAGGCAAAUCUCUAAAUUAAAGGUUUUAAAUUAAAAAGAAGUCAAGAAUCU